CCUGUGGAGGGCCAGGCUAGUUUGGGUUCUAUUUGUUCACAAUGGAAGUGAAACACACUCGGUGGGGAAUUAAAUGAGAAGAGAGUCAAGAAACUGUUAAAAACUUGAAACGAAAAAAAUACAAAAUGCAAGCAUCUUGAAGUUACAAGUUCAGAUUAUACGUGGGAACUUCCUGCCUGUAAACAGGACUGCUUUGACUGGUCUGCCUUCUACAUAACCCCAAGACAAGCACGGGCAGUCAGAGGGAGAGCUUUCAAUCCCCCCUUGCACACCAGUGAGGUUCUUCAACACUGAACCAGAGAAGUGAGAAGGGGAUUAAGUCUGCAUUAACCAAUGAGAGUGAACAUUCAGCGCUGAUAGUUUGCAGGAGGUUUGUAACUGGGGACACCUGCCCGCUUGGAAUCGACAAGCUCAGUUUGGGUUUUAUUUUUCCAGGCGCUCGUCUAAGCAUCCUGGAUUUGCUGAGAACCGGAAAGAAGAUUCAUUACAAAAGCCUGUCCUAUUUCCAAUGCCAGUGGAAAUAAUUUUUUUUUUUUUUUAAAGGAAGAAAUCAGACCCAUAUUGGGACCCUCCGUUGAAGGACUUGUCAUGGGAUCGCCAGGCCAAAAUUUUGGCAAAGAUUCAAACAAGCAUCCACAGAAGGAGUGUUUCUCUUAUUCAGCCCCUAUCACAAUUAAAACUCCUCUUUACUCUGCACUGCAUCAGUCUAUAACUGACAGUUGCAGUGAUUUGUGAGAAAAACCAGCUGCCCAGAAGGAAAGGAUUAAAGUUUCGGCCUUCAGGGAUGCCAGAAAUCUGACAGGAUGUCUGGACUGCUGAUGCACCAAGCAUGAUUCAUGCCCAAGCAACGAGGAUGGGCCGGAGGCAGUCAGGCAGGUCUGAAAUCCGAAGUUCAGGAGAUAGCGAACACAAAAGGAACUUCCACCACCCCAACCCUGUUCAAGGUAAUGAAGAGGGGCGCUCACGUUCUUGAGGAUUUCCAAGCUAACAAAGAUCUUGCAGAGACCGUGUGACAUUCACUUUGCAACCAACACUUCCGAGAAGAACGGCUCGUUAUAGCCUGUCUCCGCGAGCCAGCACCC